UACGUAGGGGGCAAGCGUUGUCCGGAUUCAUUGGGCGUAAAGAGCGUGUAGGCGGCCAGGUAGGUCGGUUGUGAAAACUGGAGGCUCAACCUUCAGAGGUCGACCGAAACCAUCUGGCUAGAGUCCGGGAGAGGUGAGUGGAAUUCCCAGUGUAGAGGUGAAAUUCGUAGAUAUUCGCAAGAACACCAGUGGCGAAGGCGGCUCACUGGCCCGAUACUGACGCUGAGGCACGAAAGCGUGGGGAGCAAACAGG
rnacentral:rRNA from 1 species